GAUUGGAAAAGGCAUUCACUUGACUUUUAAUCAAGGAGUCAUGGGUUCGAGUCCCAUCGGGAUCA
rnacentral:tRNA from 1 species